rnacentral:rRNA from 1 species
AGUUGAUCAUGGCUCAGGACGAACGCUGGCGGCACGCUUAACACAUGCAAGUCGAACGGAGUAAUCGGAGCUUGCUCUGGAUUACUUAGUGGCGGACGGGUGAGUAACACGUGAGCAACCUGCCUUGAGAGCGGAAUAGCUUCUGGAAACGGAUGGUAAUACCGCAUAACAUUAUGAGACCGCAUGGUAUUAUAAUCAAAGAUUUAUCGCUCAAAGAUGGGCUCACGGCUGAUUAGAUAGUUGGUGAGGUAACGGCUCACCAAGUCGACGAUCAGUAGCCGGACUGAGAGGUUGAACGGCCACAUUGGGACUGAGACACGGCCCAGACUCCUACGGGAGGCAGCAGUGGGGAAUAUUGCACAAUGGGCGGAAGCCUGAUGCAAGCGAUGCCGCGUGGAGGAAGAAGGUUUUCGGAUUGUAAACUCCUGAUCUGAGGGACGAUAAUGACGGUACCUCAGGAGAAAGCUCCGGCUAACUACGUGCCAGCCGCAGC